GGAAAUCUUUAAUAUGGACUUACACAGAGAUGGCUAACAUGUGGUUCCCAAUCUCAAGAAGCUCACCAUCAAAUGCACCGUAGAGACAUAUAGCCAAUCAUUGCAUUAUCAUGUGUGCAAUGACAACCAGGGGUACCAAACAGACCUGUAAGGGGAGGAGGGGAUGGAGACAGAGCAUCAAGGAAAGCUUCCUGGAGGAGAAGACAUGUGAACUGAUCUCCAAGGGAUGAGUGCAUAUUAUCCAAGAAGAGACCAAAAGCCUUUUCCAGCUUUCAAGUUCCCUGCGUUCUAGCUCUGUCUCUCUCCUCUCUCUUUGCUCCAGUGCCAUGGGCAUUCUUAGCUUCUUCGCUGUCCUUCAUGCCUAGGGCCAUCUGGAAUGCUCUUCCCUGUGUCUGGAGUUUCCCUCUAUGCCAGGCUGAUUCUUCUCCAUCCUUCAAACCUCAACUCACAUGUUAGUUUCUCAAGGAAGCCUUCCUUAGGCCCCUUCCGUGUGCUCCUCAGCAUCCUACACUUAGCCUUCAUUGCAUUCAUCAACAUUUUAAUUAAUAAUGAGUUGUGUAAUUGGUUGUUCACUCUCUGUUUUCCCUGCAAAAACACAAGCUCCACAAAAGCAGGCCCCAUGUGUGUCUUUUUAGACUCUCUCUGAGCACCUGGCAUAGGGGGAUACCCAGGGUAGAUUUUCAAUGGCUACUUGGUGGUGCAACAGCCUGGACAGGAGAUGAUGCGAAACUGAAGGAGGGCAGUGGGAGUAGGGAAGGGGGAGAGCCUGGAGAGAACGAUAAGAUGCGCGUUGGGAGGGCCAGGUCACACGUGUGAUGGGGAGGAGGGAAGGAGAAGUGAACAUGACUCGUGGAUUCACUGUCUCACUUAUCACUUUGGCUUGCUAAUUGUCAAAAAGCAGUGCCUUAUAUCUCUCUGUACUAUUUCAUUUAAAACACACUCCACAGCAAUUUAGUUACUGCUUUUUUGAUGUUUCAAAUGGAGAUUUGAGAGUUGUACGUACAGCUAUAUAUUAAAAGGUAUUUUGGUCAAGAACUUAAAUCUCAAGUGAAGUUGUCCAUCUUUGAAGGAGCAACUUGUCACUUCGUAGAUGGUGUCUCCAAGUUUUCACAGCCUAACUGAUGGUCCUGGAAGGCAUUUCAGUAAAUGUUUAUGUAAUUAGAGCAAUAUACCAAAUAUGAGGCAUAUCUCCUUAAGCGAAAGAGAUCUGGCUUGCCUUUCAGAGCCUUAGGUAUAACCAUAGUUUACUUAAGUGGAAAGAAUUUGUAUGGUUGACCCAAUUGAUAAAGAAACCCUGGAAUGCUCCUAAAUCUCUGAGCAACUGGGCUGCAGAGAGCAGGAAUCUUGCGAAAUUGUCGGUCUUAUCUGCUCAAGCUGAUCAACUGAGAACCACCUGGUGCCGAUUCUGACUCUAUCUUGUUUCUUUUGUUAUUGCUGUUGCCUCUCUCUCUCUCUCUCUCUCUCCCCCUCCCUCUCAAAUGCUUCCUCGUGUCAUCUUUUUUUCCAAACAUUCAGUAAUUCUUAUUGCAACAUGCCCAUGACUAGGAAGGCCACCGGCCAGUGCUGGAACAUACCGUCCAAGAUAUGUAAAACACAACCUUGAUCCUAUCGGGCUCUCCGUAAUGCCCAAGUUGACAAGGGAACCACAAGGAUGACUCGUAUUAACAAAACAAUCCCAGGCAGAGGCUGAAGCAGCAAAGUUGUACAACGUUGCGCGUCGAGUGGCAGACUUCUGUUAUCGAAGCUCACCUCAGCCAGGCAUCCACGCUGUGCUUUAUGGUGCCUCCUCGAAAAUUAGGAAGAGGCACCCGCCCUGGAUGGACCCAGCCUUGACUCCCGCCCUUGGCCAGGCGCCUGUGUGCAAGUUACAACCUGCUUAAACCUGUGCUAGUGUCCACAACUGUUGUCCGAAGUGUAACAGAAACAAAUAUGGUAGCAGGAAGCCCAGCACCCACUCACAGACACUUGUCACAACUUGAAUCCUCAGCAGUAUGUGCAAGACAAUGUCUCAGGAAGCCGACAAGAGAGCAGUGCCUAGAGCCACCGGCCCUGCCUCACUAAGACAGAAGGGGUUCCAACUCCACCUGCUGCCCCCAGUGCCUUCCUGGAAGCAGAGGAAGAAAUGGAAAAAAGAACAGGUGUAGGAAGAAAAGGGACAUGCCUUAGAGGGAAAAAUUCGGGCGGCAUGAAACGGCCAUGCCGAUGGAAGACAGAAAGCAGUCCUCAGGCAUGGAAGGCUACACUGUGGAAGAGCAUUCAUUCUCCCUUCAGCAAACCCUCACAGGAACCUAGUCCCUUUAGAGGAUCGGAUGAAACUUCACGGAAGCUGUGGUGUAAAACAGAAUAAAGAGAGCACGCUCUGGUUGAAGUGGGGUGGACGUGGGGAGACUCAGGGUCACUCUCCCUGCUCGGCUCCUGUGCCCUUGAAGAUCUCUGAGAAAUUUCUAGGACUUCAAAGAGCGUGAUGCUGAAGAACUGCUCUGCCAAAAUCACCUGCACCGCCCAUGGCUGCUGCCUCCCCGCCACUGACAGUGCGAACCGCCAGAAACGGAGAUGGGCAGGAGGUCAACCGAGGUUCCCGAGAUGCGGAAAGUACAUGCAUGACAGGGCUUCAGCCCCCUGCCAGCGCUCCGCUCCCUGCAGAGCCGUCUCUGUGCUCCCAGCCUCCUCCACAGCAUUGCUCCGCAUCGGCGGGGGCUUCCUCUGUGCUCUCUUCAGCCAGCUUGCAAAGACUUCCACCAUUCUCUCCUCUCCUGGCUCCUCCACUCAACCCUCCUUUCACUUCUGCAGGCUCCGCUGGGCACUGCUGUCCGUCUGGUGGACACCAUCCCAACAGGAUCAGCCUAUCAGCCGACUCUACAGCCAUCUCAGCUAGGUGCCACCUGUCCAUCAUUUUCUCACGGUCCUCUUGUUAGGAUGGGAGCAAGUCAUACUGCCUCUGACCGCCAUGUCUUAUGGAACCUUGAAUGAAACACGUCUUCACAUUCUCACUUCCAGUUAGAGACCUUAUCACCUCCCUGGAAACAACUCUAACAGGAGUCUCCCUUGGUCUAGGAAAUAAACCCAAGUAGCAG
ensembl:lncRNA